UUCCUUUGGCGGGUAUUGUCAUCAGUAGUGUUUAGUGGCGGACGGGUGAGUAACUACGUUGGUACCUCGCCCUUUUAGGUGGGGAAAUAACUCGGCGAAAGUCGGGGCUAAUACCGCAUGUGAUCCUUCGGGAUUAAAAGCCUUCGGGCGCUAAAGGAGGGGCCUGCGUCUGAUUAGCUUGUUGGUAAGGUAAUGGCUUACCAAGGCGAUGAUCAGUAGCUGGUUCGAGAGGAUGAUCAGCCACACUGGAACUGAGAUACGGUCCAGACUCCUACGGGAGGCAGCAGUAAGGAAUCUUCCGCAAUGGACGAAAGUCUGACGGAGCAACGCCGCGUGCAGGAUGAAGGCUUUCGGGUCGUAAACUGCUUUUGUAUGGGAAGAUUAUGACGGUACCAUACGAAUAAGGACCGGCUAACUACGUG
rnacentral:rRNA from 1 species